rnacentral:rRNA from 1 species
AAACUGCGAAUGGCUCAUUAUAUAAGUUAUCGUUUAUUUGAUAGUGCCUGUCCUACAUGGAUAACAGUGGUAAUUCUAGAGCUAAUACAUGCCAAACAUCCCGACUUCGGAAGGGACGUAUUUAUUAGAAUCAGAACCAAUGCCCUUCGGGGUUUCUUGGUGAUUCAUGAUAACUCCACAGAUCGCAUGGCCUUGCGCCGGCGAUGGCUCAUUCAAAUUUCUUCCCUAUCAACUUUCGACGGUACGGUCUUGGCCUACCGUGGUUGCAACGGGUGACGGAGGGUUAGGGCUCGACCCCGGAGAAGGAGCCUGAGAAACGGCUACUACAUCCAAGGAAGGCAGCAGGCGCGCAAAUUAUCCAAUCCCGACACGGGGAGAUAGUGACAAUAAAUACCGAUACAGGGCUCUUUUGGGCCCCGUAAUUGGAAUGAGUACAAUUUAAACCUCUUAACGAGGAACAAUUGGAGGGCAAGUCUGGUGCCAGCAGCCGCGGUAAUUCCAGCUCCAAUAGCGUAUAUUAAAGUUGUUGUGGUUAAAAAGCUCGUAGUCGAACCUCGGGCCUGGCCGGCCGGUCCGCCUCACCGCGUGCACUGGUCUGGCCGGGCUCUUCCCUCUGCGGAACCGCAUGCCCUUCACUGGGCGUGUCGGGAGGCAGGACUUUUACUUUGAAAAAAUUAGAGUGCUCAAGGCAGGCCAAUGCUCGAAUACAUUAGCAUGGAAUAAUAAAAUAGGACGUUGGUUCUAUUUUGUUGGUUUCUAGGACCGCCGUAAUGAUCAAUAGGGACGGUCGGGGGCAUCAGUAUUCAGCCGUCAGAGGUGAAAUUCUUGGACCGGCUGAAGACUAACUACUGCGAAAGCAUUUGCCAAGGACGUUUUCGCUGAUCAGGAACGAAAGUUAGGGGAUCGAAGACGAUCAGAUACCGUCGUAGUCUUAACCAUAAACUAUGCCGACUAGGGAUCGGACGGCGUUCUUUCUAGACCCGUUCGGCACCUUUCGAGAAAUCAAAGUGCUUGGGCUCCAGGGGGAGUAUGGCGGCAACGCUGAAACUUAAAGAAAUUGACGGAAGGGCACCACCAGGGGUGGAACCUGCGGCUUAAUUUGACUCAACACGGGGAAACUCACCAGGUCCGGACACAGUGAGGAUUGACAGAUUGAGAGCUCUUUCUUGAUUCUGUGGGUGGUGGUGCAUGGCCGUUCUUAGUUGGUGGGGUGACUUGUCUGCCUAAUCGCGAUAACGAACGAGACCUUGACUCCUAAAUAGCUCGCACCGCCUCGGCGGGUUGCGGCUUCUUAGUGGGACUAUCGGCUCAAGCCGAUGGAAGUUCGAGGCAAUAACAGGUCUGUGAUGCCCUUAGAUGUCCUGGGCCGCACGCGCGUUACACUGACAGAGCCAGCGAGUUUUCCCUUGGCCGGAAGGCCCGGGUAAUCUUGUGAAACUCCGUCGUGCUGGGGAUAGAGCAUUGCAAUUGUUGCUCUUCAACGAGGAAUCCCUAGUAAGCGCAAGUCAUCAGCUUGCGUUGAUUACGUCCCUGCCCUUUGUACACACCGCCCGUCGCUACUACCGAUUGAAUGGCUCAGUGAGGUCUUCGGACUGGCCCAGGGAGGCGGGCGACUGCCACCCACGGCCGGAAAGUUGCCCAAACUCGGUCAUUUAGAGGAAGUAAAA